rnacentral:lncRNA from 1 species
UUUGUUGUCGCCGUUGUUGUUGUCGUUAUUGUUUUUGUUGUUCUUUUUUUUUCGAUCUUCCAGGCUCUGUAACGCACAUUUUGCUAAUGAAAUGAAAAGGUCUUUGUUACCUUACCCGUACGUCGUGUUGGAUUGUCGUGCGUCGGACUCCUUUCAUUUUCAUUCCGGACGAUGUCAAUAUUGUUCGAAGGUUCCUUGUUCAUCUUUGCAUUAGGUCGUCAUUACCGAGUUUCUUGUGCUUUUGAUGGGUUCGACGUCGACGCCACUUGGAGGUUCAUAGUCAUCGCCGUGUCGAUUUGCCUUUUGUUCGUGACCAUAGAUCUUACUUUCUCUUCCUUCCUCUUCAUAGAGACGAGGUCCUUUGUGCUUUUAGUGUAGUUCGGCCUCCAUUUUUUGUUGGCGUAUGGGGUCGCGGUAGUGUAGAGGGGUCGCCGAGAAGGUUUUCUUUUUUCUUGUCGGAUCUCGAAUGGCCGGACCUUAGUCGGUGUCGCGACGAGGUUCUUCCCCUAUUUCUGAUG